GAUGAAGAACGCAGCGAAAUGCGAUACGUAAUGUGAAUUGCAGAAUUCAGUGAAUCAUCGAAUCUUUGAACGCAUAUUGCGCUCUCUGGUAUUCCGGAGAGCAUGCUUGUUUGAGUAUCAGUAAACACCUCAACUUCCAUAUCUUUUUUGAAAUGGGAGUUGGACUUGAGUGAUCCCAACGCUUUUCCUCACCGAAAAGUGGCGGGUUACUUGAAAUGCAGGUGCAGCUGGACUUUUCUCUGAGCUAUAAGCAUAUCUAUUUAGUCUGCCUAAAAAACAGAUUAUUACCUUUGCUGCAGCUAACAUAAAGGAGAUUAGUUCUUGUGCUGACUGAUGCAGGAUUCACAAAGACAGGCUUCGGCCGACUUUGUAAACUCGAUCUCAAAUCAAGCAAGACUACCCGCUGAACUUAAGCAUAUCAAUAAGCGGAGGA
rnacentral:misc_RNA from 1 species